rnacentral:rRNA from 1 species
GAAAUGCGAUACGUAAUGUGAAUUGCAGAAUUCAGUGAAUCAUCGAAUCUUUGAACGCACCUUGCGCCCCUUGGCAUUCCGAGGGGCACACCCGUUUGAGUGUCGUGAAAUUCUCAAAACCUUUUCUUUUGAAAAGGAUUUUGGACUUGGAGGCCUUUUGCUGGUUUCGCAUUGAAGCGAGCUCCUCCUAAAUGGAUUAGUGGGGUCUGCUUUGCCGAUCCUUGACGUGAUAAGAUGUUUCUACGUCUUGGGUUUGGCACCGCACCCGCUCCUAACCGUCUCAUCGACAAUGAUGGCGUUCCGGUCACCACCGUUUCAUCGGUGGGAGGCUUGACCCACCAAAAAAACCUUGACCUCAAAUCGGGUGAGACUACCCGCUGAACUUAAGCAUAUCAAUAAGCGGAGGAAAAGAAACU